rnacentral:rRNA from 1 species
UACGGGGGGGGCAAGCGUUGUUCGGAAUUACUGGGCGUAAAGGGCUCGUAGGCGGCCAACUAAGUCAGACGUGAAAUCCCUCGGCUUAACCAGGGAACUGCAUCUGAUACUGGAUGGCUUGAGUUCGGGAGAGGGAUGCGGAAUUCCAGGUGUAGCGGUGAAAUGCGUAGAUAUCUGGAGGAACACCGGUGGCGAAGGCGGCAUCCUGGACCGACACUGACGCUGAGGAGCGAAAGCCAGGGGAGCAAACGGG